rnacentral:rRNA from 1 species
GCUGAAGAGAGGAGCUUGCUCUUCUUGGAUGAGUUGCGAACGGGUGAGUAACGCGUAGGUAACCUGCCUUGUAGCGGGGGAUAACUAUUGGAAACGAUAGCUAAUACCGCAUAACAAUGGAUGACACAUGUCAUUUAUUUGAAAGGGGCAAUUGCUCCACUACAAGAUGGACCUGCGUUGUAUUAGCUAGUAGGUGAGGUAAUGGCUCACCUAGGCGACGAUACAUAGCCGACCUGAGAGGGUGAUCGGCCACACUGGGACUGAGACACGGCCCAGACUCCUACGGGAGGCAGCAGUAGGGAAUCUUCGGCAAUGGGGGCAACCCUGACCGAGCAACGCCGCGUGAGUGAAGAAGGUUUUCGGAUCGUAAAGCUCUGUUGUAAGUCAAGAACGGGUGUGAGAGUGGAAAGUUCACACUGUGACGGUAGCUUACCAGAAAGGGACGGCUAACUACGUGCCAGCAGCCGCGGUAAUACGUAGGUCCCGAGCGUUGUCCGGAUUUAUUGGGCGUAAAGCGAGCGCAGGCGGUUUGAUAAGUCUGAAGUUAAAGGCUGUGGCUCAACCAUAGUUCGCUUUGGAAACUGUCAAACUUGAGUGCAGAAGGGGAGAGUGGAAUUCCAUGUGUAGCGGUGAAAUGCGUAGAUAUAUGGAGGAACACCGGUGGCGAAAGCGGCUCUCUGGUCUGUAACUGACGCUGAGGCUCGAAAGCGUGGGGAGCGAACAGGAUUAGAUACCCUGGUAGUCCACGCCGUAAACGAUGAGUGCUAGGUGUUGGAUCCUUUCCGGGAUUCAGUGCCGCAGCUAACGCAUUAAGCACUCCGCCUGGGGAGUACGACCGCAAGGUUGAAACUCAAAGGAAUUGACGGGGGCCCGCACAAGCGGUGGAGCAUGUGGUUUAAUUCGAAGCAACGCGAAGAACCUUACCAGGUCUUGACAUCCCGAUGCUAUUUCUAGAGAUAGAAAGUUACUUCGGUACAUCGGUGACAGGUGGUGCAUGGUUGUCGUCAGCUCGUGUCGUGAGAUGUUGGGUUAAGUCCCGCAACGAGCGCAACCCCUAUUGUUAGUUGCCAUCAUUCAGUUGGGCACUCUAGCGAGACUGCCGGUAAUAAACCGGAGGAAGGUGGGGAUGACGUCAAAUCAUCAUGCCCCUUAUGACCUGGGCUACACACGUGCUACAAUGGUUGGUACAACGAGUUGCGAGUCGGUGACGGCGAGCUAAUCUCUUAAAGCCAAUCUCAGUUCGGAUUGUAGGCUGCAACUCGCCUACAUGAAGUCGGAAUCGCUAGUAAUCGCGGAUCAGCACGCCGCGGUGAAUACGUUCCCGGGCCUUGUACACACCGCCCGUCACACCACGAGAGUUUGUAACACCCGAAGUCGGUGAGGUAACCUUUGGAGCCAGCC